rnacentral:rRNA from 1 species
GACGAACGCUGGCGGCGUGCUUAACACAUGCAAGUCGAACGGAAAGGCCCUGCUUUUGUGGGGUGCUCGAGUGGCGAACGGGUGAGUAACACGUGAGUGACCUGCCCUUGACUUUGGGAUAACUUCAGGAAACUGGGGCUAAUACCGGAUAGGAGCUCCUGCUGCAUGGUGGGGGUUGGAAAGUUUCGGCGGUUGGGGAUGGACUCGCGGCUUAUCAGCUUGUUGGUGGGGUAGUGGCUUACCAAGGCUUUGACGGGUAGCCGGCCUGAGAGGGUGACCGGCCACAUUGGGACUGAGAUACGGCCCGGACUCCUACGGGAGGCAGCAGUGGGGAAUAUUGCACAAUGGGCGGAAGCCUGAUGCAGCAACGCCGCGUGCGGGAUGACGGCCUUCGGGUUGUAAACCGCUUUCGCCUGUGACGAAGCGUGAGUGACGGUAAUGGGUAAAGAAGCACCGGCUAACUACGUG